ACUGUCUGAAAAUCAUUUCUGGCCUUUUUCGGUGGCCUUGGAUGAGAUAAUGGUGCCCACAGUAACGGGAGCGUUAAGCUUAUUGCCUGUAAGCAUGAAGUAUGGGCAAUAAAACCCACGCUCCUAUAUGU